CUUGGUCAUUUAGAGGAAGUAAAAGUCGUAACAAGGUUUCCGUAGGUGAACCUGCGGAAGGAUCAUUCAUAAUAAGUGUUUUAUGGCACUUUUUAAAUCCAUAUCCACCUUGUGUGCAAUGUCAGUCGUUCUCUCUUUUGAGAAUGACCAAACAUCAACUUAUUCUUUAACUCUUUGUCUGAAAAAUAUUAUGAAUAAAAUAAUUCAAAAUACAACUUUCAACAACGGAUCUCUUGACUCUCGCAUCGAUGAAGAACGCAGCGAAAUGCGAUACGUAAUGUGAAUUGCAGAAUUCAGUGAAUCAUCGAAUCUUUGAACGCAUAUUGCGCUCUUUGGUAUUCCGAAGAGCAUGCUUGUUUGAGUAUCAGUAAACACCUCAAAGACUUUCAAUUUGUUUUGAAUGGCUUUGGACUUGAGCAAUCCCAACACCAGUCUUUACGAUCGGUGGAGGGUUGCUUGAAAUGCAGGUGCAGCUGGACAUUCUCCUGAGCUAAAAGCAUAUUUAUUUAGUCCCGUCAAACGGAUUAUUACUUUUGCUGCAGCUAACAUAAAGGGAGUUUGACCGUAUUGGCUGACUGAUGCAGGAUUUCACAAGGGUCGGCAACGAUUCUUGUAAAACUCGAUCUCAAAUCAAGUAAGACUACCCGCUGAACUUAAGCAUAUCAAUAAGCGGAGGAAAAGAAACUAACAAGGAUUCCCCUAGUAACGGCGAGUGAAGCGGGAUGAGCUCAAAUUUAAAAUCUGGCUGGUUUACUAGUCCGAAUUGUAGUUUAUAGAAGCGUUUUCGGUGGCAGCCUGGGUAUAAGUCCUUUGGAAUAGGGUAUCAUAGAGGGUGAGAAUCCCGUCUUUGACUCAGUGCAUGCUACUAUGUGAUACGUUUUCAAAGAGUCGAGUUGUUUGGGAAU
rnacentral:sRNA from 1 species